rnacentral:rRNA from 1 species
AGAGUUGAUCCUGGCUAGGACGAACGCUGGCGGCGUGCCUAACACAUGCAAGUCGAGCGGGGACAUGCGACGGAUAGGAAGUUUCGGAUGGAAUUGAAGAUGUAUGUUCUAGCGGCGGACGGGUGAGUAACGCGUGAGCAACCUGUCCUUCACAGGGGGAUAACACAGCGAAAGUUGUACUAAUACCGCAUAAGACCACGUUGGGACAUCCCAAAGGGGUCAAAGGAGCAAUCCGGUGAAGGGUGGGCUCGCGUCCGAUUAGAUAGUUGGUGAGGUAACGGCCCACCAAGUCGACGAUCGGUAGCCGACCUGAGAGGGUGAUCGGCCACAUUGGGACUGAGACACGGCCCAAACUCCUACGGGAGGCAGCAGUGGGGAAUAUUGGGCAAUGGGGGGAACCCUGACCCAGCAACGCCGCGUGAGGGAAGAAGGUUUUCGGAUCGUAAACCUCUGUCCCAGAUGAAGAGAAAGAGACGGUAAUCUGGGAGGAAGCCCCGGCUAACUACGUGCCAGCCGCUGC